GGGCCCCGGGCGGGGCGGGGGCACGGGGGGAACGCGAAGAACCUUACCUACUCUUGACAUCCAGAGAAUUCGCUAGAGAUAGCUUAGUGCCUUCGGGAACUCUGAGACAGGUGCUGCAUGGCUGUCGUCAGCUCGUGUUGUGAAAUGUUGGGUUAAGUCCCGCAACGAGCGCAACCCUUAUCCUUUGUUGCCAGCGCGUAAUGGCGGGAACUCAAAGGAGACUGCCGGUGAUAAACCGGAGGAAGGUGGGGAUGACGUCAAGUCAUCAUGGCCCUUACGAGUAGGGCUACACACGUGCUACAAUGGCAUAUACAAAGAGAAGCGAACUCGCGAGAGCAAGCGGACCUCAUAAAGUAUGUCGUAGUCCGGAUUGGAGUCUGCAACUCGACUCCAUGAAGUCGGAAUCGCUAG
rnacentral:rRNA from 1 species